UAGGAAGAAGGUCAUUUGCAUGCCAUCCCUCUUUAGGAGGGUACCACCUAACAUCGUCACCUACAAAACAAUAAAACAAAUUAGUUACACAAUGAAGGUUAAACACAAAAGAACUUUCCAGGAUUUUAGUCACAACUUGAACAAAUAAACUCAAAAGAACAACACAUGAAUCAAUACCGGGAUCAAAAACAGAAAUUGGUUUUACCUUUUUCUUCGAUGGAAACAAACCUGAUUCACAAGGUAUUUGAAGAUUAUAGUUUUGAAAAUUAGAAUUCCAUGGUCCAAAUCCCUUUAACAAUGAUAUGGAACAACAUUCACC
rnacentral:lncRNA from 1 species